UUCGAAAAUCAAACAAAAAAAAAAGAGAAAAAACCAAAAACAAAAAAUCAAAAAAAAAAAAAAAAUA
rnacentral:rRNA from 1 species